rnacentral:lncRNA from 1 species
AAGUAGAAAUAUCAAUACGUGUAAAUUCAAAAAUGGCAGAUUUUCCAGGAUUAAACUAUCCAUUCGUGAACUUUCAAUCGUUACAAUUUCAAUUGACGAAUUAGUUCCAGCGCAGAGGACAUUGGAAUCUUGGACUAAAAUCUUCGUCAACAACAGCGCCACUUCUUCUGUCUCAAGCCCUAAUUUCUAGAAUAACACCACUUCUGGUGGCGACGAAGGUAGGUCUUCCAUCAACCCAAAUCCAUGACCUGAAUUUCUGAACUUGUUUUCAUUUCAAUGUGCUAUAGUUCUGUGAUCUUGCUUUCUUGUGUCUUUUCUCUAAAACACGAGCUGGAAUUUCCUUGAUUGUGAUAGAAGCUGAGACUUGGAGAAUGUUUUGGUACUUCUGAAAGAUAUGUACUCUGGAAAGUUUUCUUUAGUUUGUCUUUUUAACCAUAAAGUUUUAUACUGGCUUGAUUUUGUUUUCCCAUGGGUCGUAUAAAAAUAUUUGAGGAAGAAAUAAUGUUGAACUAUUUGAUAAUUAUGUUUUAUAGGUUGUGUAUAUUUAUGAGAAACUUAUGAAUACGGUACCAAGUAAUGCAAGAAUGCAAGAACAAUCAAUCAUGUAGCAUAGUUUAUUUAAGCGUUGAGAAAUUGAAGGGAUGGUGGUGAAGCUACUAAUAUAAAAGAGUUUGUUGUAGUUUCACACUGAUCGUAGUGAUUUCCCUCGUAUGGACUAACUAUAUAGUUAUUAUGUUGUCGUAUGAAGACUGAAUAUUGUUUCUUGUGCAUAUCCUUCCAAUAUUAUAUCCUGGAAAAGAGCUUGGGCCAGUCACCAAUUAUGUUUAUUCUUCCAUAUAUUACAAAGGGGUCCCCAUAACGGUUUUCCCCCAUGGAGGCCGGAUGAUAAAGAUGGUCACUAUGCUUUUGCUAUUUGUGAGAAUUUAACUUCUCAUUGUAGGUGUACUUCAAAUAAUUAAUGGUGUGAAUUGGAGAGUGGCUUAAAUGUUAAUUUUGAUUGAUGCCUUUUUAGGAGUUCUUUUAGAACAUGCUCAUUGAACACCUUUGCUAUGAUAGCUUGUGCAAUCUGCUGUACAUAUGUGGGUCUCUCCCAUUGUUUCUUACAUUCAUUUUUCUGGAGUGGAAAUGCUUAUGUUAGGUUAGAUUUUUUGUUGUCCACAUGUUAGAUUAGUUUCCUUCAGUUAACUAUGCAGUCACCCCUCCACUUUAGCAAACUAACUUCGAUGUGGUAAUUUUUAAGCCUUAUUGUAUUACAAGAGGCGAAUAACUUGAAGCAAGCAUGGCCAUCAUUAUUGAAGAACAAAAUCUGCCACCCAAAUAUUUAUUUUGUAACUCGUUCUUAUAAUAACUAUAUCUCCGUUUUACUUUAAGAAGCAUCUAAUAUGAAAAUCUAUAGAGAGUACGUUAAGGAACACAUCUAUGUUUUUCCCCCUUCUGGUAGGUGGCUAGUCUAAUUUGCUUUCUGGAAGAUUUUUUAUUUUUUCAGGAAUUCUAAAGUUAAUAUACUCAUAUAAGUUUAGUGCAUGUUUGGUACCUGGAAUUAGACCGAUUAGACCAUACUGGACGAUAUAGCAUACAAGAUUCUAACUUCUUUUUCUUUUCUAAUUUAGUCUAGCACAGUCUGAUCCACUUUGUCAAAAGAAGCGAUCAGUGACAUGGGCCCCGGAUGUGUAUGAUCCAGCUCCAACAGAGUUGUCACAUGCAUUAUCAGACAAGAGUCAGAGCCAUCAAAGCAAUAGGAAGAAGUUUGGGAAAAACAAGCAGAAAUGAAGAUGGUUUUGGUGGUGGAUUCCUGCCCUAUGGUAGUGCUUCCCACCGUUUAUUGUGCCAUUUGGUGAAGGCUGAUGGUUGGGUAGGUAUAUCUGCCAAUUCCGAGUCCUGUGGAUUGGGGGUGCCAAAGGAAGAUGUCGCAUGAGAUCACACAUGGAUAACUGUGAUGGAUUGUAAGGUUCACACUGGGCGCUUGACAGAGUUUUGAGGCUUUUCUUGCAAUAGGUUUGAGCUUAUUGUGCUUGUUUCUUUUAGGUCGUUUUUAGUGCUUGGUUGAUGGCUUAGAGUUUAUGUGAUUGGGCUGCUGUGGUGGGUUAGACUUUUUGGUACUUGGGCUGUGAUAAUGUUUUCUUUUCUAACAACUCUACCUGCUUUCCCUUUUUUCUUUUCUUUUAUUUUUUUUAAACAAACAAAUAACAAGAGUUCUUUUCUUCUACAAAUAAUACCAUUAAAAAUACCCUUUUGUAGACUAGACAUACCAUGAAUAGUAGGUUUUGACUGGGAUUUUAUCACUGGACCGAGGCAAUUUGGUAUCAAUUGAUGCAAAAUGAGAGACACGAAGAAGAAAGAAAUUGUAGGAACAAGUUAAUUGAAUUCUGCUUCGAUUUAUUCUUAAAAUUUUUGGUAAAAAUGAAAUCUACUGAAAUAAAUCAAAAUCAAUUUCUUAUUUCAAUUUUGGUGUAUUUUCAGCAUGUUUCUAUUGCCUCUUCCAUCACGUGUUCUAUCUUAGUAGACAUCAUUGUUUACUGCUAUAUAGAAUGUUCUCAUACAAUUAAAAAUAAGAUAAAUUAUUGACUUCGGUAUGAAACUGAGCUAUUGCUUGGAAUGACUAUUUUCCCUUCAAUUUUCCCUUGCUGUAUGCUUGCUUUUUCAAUGUUUAUUAAGUAGUUAUGAUGCAUUUUUAGAAAAAUUAUUUUCAGGAAUUGUCUACAGAUGAGAAUAUAUUCAAACCAUCUGAUGUUGAACAGGCUUUGUGGAGUUCUUCCAUAGCUGCCAAAUUCAAAAUAUUAUCUACUAAUUUAGAUGACGUUCAGUUGGACAAAAGGUCUGCAGGAUAGAGCAAACGGUAAUAGAGCUCCGGUUUGUUGUCAACUCUGGUUACUCACUAUAUAUUAUCAAUUUUUUUCCUUUCUAUUUGUAGGCUCCCUACUAAGCAUCUUUAUGUAUCCAAAUUAAAUGUUAAACUUGUUUAUUUUGUUCUCACAUAAUUUCUGAUCAUUUGCCAUAUUUUACUACUACCAGAAAAUGAUUAUUUGUUGUUGGUAAAAGUGUCAUGAACUCCUUAGAUCAAUCUAAUGGCUUACAGACACCACAAGGAGCAAGGCUUGUAACUUGCUCUGUGUUUGCUUAAGAUAUUGUUUAAUUCUUUCUAUUAUAACAUAUUACUUGUUUAAACUAUGUUCAAGAUUUGUGGAAACUUUCCUUUAAGAGAGAAUAUUUUAUGAUUCGAAUAAUUCAAGCUUCUUUCCUAAAUGUCUUAUUCUAGAAUACUUCAAUAUCUGCGAAGCAGCAAGUUAAUUUCAAAUUGGCAAAGAAUCUAAUUACCUGUUAGAUUUGCUCUCUCUGUAUGAUACCACUCUUAUAUUACAAAUUGUGUUUUUUAGACUUUGUAUUGGUUUUCUUCUUGGAUCUUUAUGCUGGUGGUUAGUGUUUGUUUUUCAUAGGCCAGGAUCGAUGGCACAGCUCAUAUCGAAGAUUGCUGAGAAGAAAAUUAAGGAGAUCGAUGAAGUGGUUUUACUCACUAUUUUUGGAGUUCAAUUAAUAAUGGUUAUUGGAGUUAUUUGAUAUAGUUAUCUUCUAUUAUGUUUUGUGGUUAAUAUAUGUAAGUCACUGUACAAACAAAAAAAUUAAAAUUUAAAAAAAAAAAUGUAAAAUGACCUACGGUAACGGUAAUUUUUUUUAUGCAAAAAAUAAGGACAAAAGCAUAGAUAAGUUACAAAAAAU